rnacentral:rRNA from 1 species
AGUUAACGUUGGCGGCGUGCCUAACACAUGCAAGUCGAACGCGUCCUAAGGGCAACUUUAGGAUGAGUGGCGAACGGGUGAGUAUCACGUGGGUAAUCUUCCUUCAAGUGGGGAAUAAGCUCUCGAAAGGGAGUCUAAUACCGCAUGACAUUCCGGGACACAAGUCCCGUAAUCAAAGCCGCAAGGCGCUUGAAGAUGAGCCUGCGUCCUAUUAGCUGGUUGGUGAGGUAACGGCUCACCAAGGCGACGAUGGGUAGCCGACCUGAGAGGGUGACCGGCCACACUGGGACUGAGACACGGCCCAGACUCCUACGGGAGGCAGCAGUGGGGAAUAUUGCGCAAUGGACGGAAGUCUGACGCAGCGACGCCGCGUGAGCGACGAAGGCCUUCGGUCGUAAAGCUCUGUUCUUGGGACGAAGGAAAUGACGGUACCCAAGGAGAAAGCCCCGGCUAACUACGUGCCAGCAGCCGCGGUAAGAGUCACGUCG